rnacentral:rRNA from 1 species
CCUACGGGGGGCUGCAGUGAGGAAUAUUGGUCAAUGGGCGCGAGCCUGAACCAGCCAAGUCGCGUGAAGGAUGACUGCCCUACGGGUUGUAAACUUCUUUUAUCAAGGAAUAAAGUGAGGCACGUGUGCCUUUUUGUAUGUACUUUAUGAAUAAGGAUCGGCUAACUACGUGCCAGCAGCCGCGGUAAUUCGGAGGAUCCGAGAGUUAUCCGGAUUUUGUGGGGUUAAAGGGUGCGGAGAUGGGUUGUUAAGUCAGGUGGGAAAGUUUGCGGCUCAAACGUGAAAGUGCAAUUGAUACUGGCAGUCGUGAGUACAGUAGAGGUAGGCGGAAUGCGUGGUGUAGCGGUGAAAUGCUUAGAUAUCACGAAGAACACCGAUUGCGAAGGCAGCAUACCGGCGCCCGACUGACGCUGAGGCACGAAAGCGUGGGGAUCGAACAGGAUUAGAUACCCCAGUAGUC